rnacentral:rRNA from 1 species
UACGGAGGGUCCAAGCGUUAUCCGGAAUCAUUGGGUUUAAAGGGUCCGCAGGCGGGUUAAUAAGUCAGUGGUGAAAUCUCUCAGCUUAACUGGGAAACUGCCAUUGAUACUGUUAGUCUUGAAUUCGGUCGAAGUAGGCGGAAUGUGUCAUGUAGCGGUGAAAUGCAUAGAUAUGACACAGAACACCGAUAGCGAAGGCAGCUUACUAGGCCUGAAUUGACGCUCAUGGACGAAAGCGUGGGGAGCAAACAGG